GUAGAGAAUCUUUCACAAUGGGGGCAACCCUGAUGGAGCGACGCCGCGUGGAGGAUAAGGUCUUCGGAUUGUAAACUCCUGUCAUGCGUGAACAAGGUUGCUUGGUUAAUACCUGGGCAAAUUGAUGGUAACGCAAGAGGAAGAGACGGCUAACUCUGUGCCAGCAGCCGCGGUAAUACAGAGGUCUCAAGCGUUGUUCGGAAUCAAUGGGCGUAAAGGGUGCGUAGGUGGCGUGGUAAGUCAGAUGUGAAAGCCCGGGGCUCAACCUCGGAACUGCAUCCGAUACUGCAAUGCUAGAGUACUGGAGAGGUGACUAGAAUUCUCGGUGUAGCAGUGAAAUGCGUAGAUAUCGAGAGGAAUACCAAAGGCGUAGGCAGGUCACUGGACAGUUACUGACACUGAGGCACGAAGGCCAGGGGAGCGAACGGGAUUAGAUACCCUGGUAGUCC
rnacentral:rRNA from 1 species